rnacentral:rRNA from 1 species
CCUUGCCUCGUGGUGGGGGAUAGCCGGCCCAACGGCCGGGUAAUACCGCAUAUGGUAGUUUCUUCGCAUGGGGAGACUAGCAAAGCCGUGCAGCAAUGCACUGGCGCCACAGGGGGGGCUCGCGGCCUAUCAGCUAGUUGGGGGGGGUAAUGGCCCACCAAGGCGACGACGGGUAGCUGGUCUGAGAGGAUGGCCAGCCACAUUGGGACUGAGAGACGGCCCAG